GCUCAGAACGAACGCUGGCGGCAGGCUUAACACAUGCAAGUCGAGCGCCCCGCAAGGGGAGCGGCAGACGGGUGAGUAACGCGUGGGAAUCUACCCUUUUCUACGGAAUAACGCAGGGAAACUUGUGCUAAUACCGUAUAAGCCCUUCGGGGGAAAGAUUUAUCGGGAAAGGAUGAGCCCGCGUUGGAUUAGCUAGUUGGUGGGGUAAAGGCCUACCAAGGCGACGAUCCAUAGCUGGUCUGAGAGGAUGAUCAGCCACAUUGGGACUGAGACACGGCCCAAACUCCUACGGGAGGCAGCAGUGGGGAAUAUUGGACAAUGGGCGCAAGCCUGAUCCAGCCAUGCCGCGUGAGUGAUGAAGGCCCUAGGGUUGUAAAGCUCUUUCACCGGUGAAGAUAAUGACGGUAACCGGAGAAGAAGCCCCGGCUAACUUCGUGCCAGCAGCCGCGGUAAUACGAAGGGGGCUAGCGUUGUUCGGAAUUACUGGGCGUAAAGCGCACGUAGGCGGACAUUUAAGUCAGGGGUGAAAUCCCGGGGCUCAACCCCGGAACUGCCUUUGAUACUGGGUGUCUAGAGUAUGGAAGAGGUGAGUGGAAUUCCGAGUGUAGAGGUGAAAUUCGUAGAUAUUCGGAGGAACACCAGUGGCGAAGGCGGCUCACUGGUCC
rnacentral:rRNA from 1 species